GAUGAACGCUGGCGGCGUGCCUAACACAUGCAAGUCGAGCGGACGGACGAGAAGCUUGUGUCGUUGAUGUUAGCGGCGGGGGGGUGUGUAACACGUGGAUAACGCACUUAUAAGACGGGGAUAAUCACGGAAAACGGGAUCUUAUAGCGGAUAAUAUUUUGAACCGUAGGGGGCAAUAGAGAAUGACGGCCGUGCGGGCAGGAAUAGAUGGAUACGAGCUGCAUGAGGUAGUUGGUAAGGUAACGGCUUACGAAGGGAACGAUGCAUAGGCGACCUGAGAGGGUGAUCGGCCACACUGGAACUGAGACACGGUCCAGACUCCUACGGGAGGCAGCAGUAGGGAAUCUUCGGCAGUGGGCGAAAGCCUGACGGAGCAACGCCGCGUGAGUGAUGAAGGUCUUCGGAUCGGAAAGCUCUGUUAUUAGGGAAGAACAUAUGUGUAAGUAGCUGUGGCGAGCUUGACGGUACCUAAUCAAGAAGCCACGGCUAACUACGUG
rnacentral:rRNA from 1 species